GUGUCAGCAGCCGCGGUAAUACAGAGGUCCCAAGCGUUGUUCGGAUUUACUGGGCGUAAAGGGCGCGUAGGUGGCGGGCUAAGUCUGGUGUGAAAGCUCUGAGCUCAACUCAGAAAUGGCACUAGAUACUAGUCUGCUUGAGGAUUGGAGGGGAGACUGGAAUUCUCGGUGUAGCAGUGAAAUGCGUAGAUAUCGAGAGGAACACCAGUGGCGAAGGCGAGUCUCUGGACAAUACCUGACACUGAGGCGCGAAAGCUAGGGGAGCAAACGGGAUUAGAUACCCCCGUAGUCC
rnacentral:rRNA from 1 species